AUCAAAAGUCUUUACAACAUGGACAGUUAAACCUUUUGUAAUUUAAUUAAAACAACAAAAGAGAAAACAAACAAGCAGAUUGAGAUCUCCUUCAACGAUGCUUGAUGACGUGGCAGCCGAGACAUGCAGCAUUCUAGGACGCAGCCUUAUUAAAAAUAAAAAAAAAUGGACGCAGCCUUAUUUAUUUUUAUUUUAUAUAUGUAUAAUGUACCCCCUGACUGAACUUGUAUUUCUUAUUAUUUAAAAAAAAUAUAUUAAAAAUAUUUUUAAAAGAACGCAGCUGUGCGUUUGAGAAACGACCGGAAACGACUUAUAUGUCGCGAGGCCAUCACGUGACCACAAUAUUUACCAGAAGACCGUUAUUUGCUCGAGUUCCCUCAACUUUUUUGUCGCAAAUAACAUUAUUAAUAACCUGUAAAUAAUAAAAUUUGUACACAUUACGUUCCUUUUCACGUUGUAAUAGUAUGUUUUUGGUUUAAUAGUCGGCUUUAAGUUAGUUUUUCUGUCAGUUUGAUCGUCAAAAUCUUGAAAGUUAUCUACAGCCACACAUCCACUGUAUACCAAGUUAUGAUGUUCAAUUAUGAGAAUGCAAAAUGAUUUAUAGAUCAGUAAACAAUCAACAAAAAGGUAAUGUCUUAAUUAAUAUAUUUCUGCUUUUGUUACUUAUUCAUGUAUUUGAAUUACAUCAUUCAAAAUCAAAUGUUAAUAAUUAUAGGGUUUCAACUUGUUGCAGCUUUACAAAAAAUGUAGAAUUUGUAGGAGCAUGGACAACUGAGUAACAAAGUCAUAUUAUGCAGAUGGUAAAGAGGGUCAGGAUGAUGGAGAUGCAAGAGCCAAAGACAGCACAGACCAAACACCAGGCCAGAAUUCUGCAUGAGUCAGAUUGAGUAAUUUUCACUCUAGAGACCCUGGGGUGACCACCAAGGACGAAUGAAAACUCCAGUGAGUGUUUCUAAGGUAGAUCCUAAUGCAGAUGGAUGGAAUGUUGAUCCGCCUAACAUGCAAGAUUUUCUGUACCGAGAACUUUGGAUGACCAUCAAGACAAGCACUCGUUUUGAGUCCUGAGACCCUGGGGUGACCACCGUGAACAAAUACAGACUGCAAAAAGGCAGUCUUGACGGUUCUAGGAUGAAUGCAAAUAAAGACUGACCACCUGACUUCAGCGGUCCAGUCUCUUGUGGGAAGCAGGUGUUUGUUACCCCAAAUACGGAUGAAGAGUGACGAAGAGGAUGAUGACUUUUUUCUCAAACAUCAUCUGAAGAUCUUGACAGGCUGGAGACAAAAUUAACAGACUGAGGGUUUAUACAAAGAAUCUUACUCAGCCAAUAUUAAAGAUAAGAUAUUUUUACAAAA